rnacentral:pre_miRNA from 1 species
UCUUAUGGAUGAGCAUAGAAAGUAGUUUCUUGAGUUGGAAUGUACUCCUGAUGAGGAUGCUGUGAA